UUAAGUUCAGCGGGUAUCCCUACCUGAUCCGAGGUCAACCAUAGAGUUGGGGGUUCUGGCAGGCCACCGCGGGGCCCUGGAGCGAGAGAUGUACUACGCUCAGGGCCAUGCGGCGCCGCCACUGUCUUAGGGCCGGCCGCGGACGGCAGGGCCCAACACCAAGCCAGGCUUGAGGGUUGAAAUGACGCUCGAACAGGCAU
rnacentral:misc_RNA from 1 species